rnacentral:lncRNA from 1 species
AGAAGGAGAGGGCACAAAAACCGGGAAGGCUGGACAGUCCAGCCUCCAAGCAGAAGGGGCCAGGCACUCCAGCCGCCACAGACAGGAGGCAGGAGGUAAUGAGAGCCUGGAGGAGAGGUGGAGGGCUUAUGGAGUCGAAGGGACAAGAGGACUGUCUGGGGAGAACCACCUGGGCUGUCUGACUCUGGGCAAGUCCCUCAGCCUUCCUGGGUCUCAUUGAUAACAUGAACACUGGUCCCUCUCUCUGGGCACCAACAGCCUGCAGGUCUAAGUAACUUGAAACUUCCUCAUUCCAGGCUGCCCUGAGAGCUUGCACAAUCCUUUCUAGCAGAUCAGCCACAUUUAUUCAGGGCCGCCAUGGCCCUGGGUGCUUCUCCCCAUGCCUUUCCUGUCCCAUCCCCGUAAUCCCCUUUGCUCCUGACCAUGGCCUGUCAACUGGGCCUUGCUCCCCUCUUGCCCUCUCCGAAUGUGCCCCAUCUGUCAAAGAUUGGCUCAGCCAGGAAGCACCUCUGGCCUCCCAAACUGCAGUCACCUCGCUCUGCCCUGAACUUGCUAUCUGUGUGGGUGACUUACAGUAGCAGAGCCGGCCUCUUGCAGUUCUCACUUCUAUUUCCUGUAGUGACCUCUCUCCCACAGGAGAUAGCGGGCCCUUGAUGGCAGGGACCCCCUGGGUCCCCCAGAGCUGGAAGCUCAGUGCUCCUGACAUAUACUGCAAGAGAUUUUCACCAUCUUCUUUAAACAUGCGUUUUCUUUUUGCGUCAAUAAACUGUGUGACCUCGGCAAAGUCACUUCACCA